UGCCACAUCCCAGAGAAGAAGGUAGUCUCAAAGGACAUGAGUGCAUCAGCUGGAAUGCUGGAGAGAUAGCUCAGGUCCUAAGAGAGCUUACUGCUCUUCCAAAUGACCAGAGUUCUGCUCUCAGCAUGCACUUGGAUGAGCCACUUCAAUGAUGGGAUAUAAAGAGUAAGAAGAAAGACUCCUUCCUUCCUUGAGUUGCUCCUGGUUAGUCUUAUCACAAUAACAGAGAAGCUUGUGACACCCAGUGAAGAACUCGUAGGGUGAUAUCCAAAGCCAGCUCAUGUGGGAGUCCUGCUCACGUCCAUGUGUAACUUUCUAUUUUUCCAGGACUACAAAUCUGCCCCCUCCCCAACAAACAUGCCUCCUCCUUUUCCACCUUAGGUUCUCUGCAAGAAUCUGUACUUCCUGGGUUGGCACAACAGAUGUCUUCCUGCCCUUCACAUCUCUAACCUAGAUCCUUUUUCCAGAGAUAUCUUGCCUACCGCUUAGCCAAAGAAGCUUCCAAGCUCACAAAACUGGUUUUGUUUCAUCUUUACAGCCCAUAGAACAGAUUGAUGCUUCCCUCCUAUUUAUGGAUCUGCUGUCUUUUUCUUCCUCUGAAAAUUACUCUCCCCACGAGCAGGGCCUCAACCACAUUCCCCACUCUUCCCCAUUACCAAGUGCACUGUAGAAGGAGGAAUCCGGUCAUGCCAACACCGAGGACCCCUCAGUGUGCAACCAUGGAAACAGAGACAGCACUGAAUGAGUGUCGCAUGUGGAAAAAGUGACAGAGUUGGGGCCCCAACCAAGGACGAUUUCACACAUCAACAGAACCAUCUGCCUGCGCCUUGGAUCCUGCUUCCUGUCCAGUUUCAAGAAGAGGCAUCUACCAGGGUGUGGACUCAGGGAAUUGCCCAAGUCUCCCUGCAGACCAGUGCUCAACCUCGUGCAACACAAAGUUUCGAGUUUCCUGUGCUCAGCUCAAAGGGUGUGAACACACCAGAGAGACUUCAAGAGGCGGUUCCUAUGGGUCACAGCUGGAUCAGCCUCCCUUGGAGUCUGUUCUCAUCAGAUGCAUGGUCACACUGAGUAAUGUCAUCCAGAUGCAGCUCCAAGGUUCAUCUCCGUGACACGCGGAUGCCAGAUGCUCUUCCUGAUUUGAAUUUCAAACUCCACAGCAACAGUCAUCCAACCGUGCCCAUCGCUUUCCAACAAGCAGGUCUAGACCCUGACUCCAUCUUAAGCUCCACGGUGGCCUUCAAGAGUGGCCUCCACAGCUGCUAGCCUGCCACUCUGUCUGACCACCACUUGGGGGACUAUUUCGAGUGUCUUCUACUGCAUGUGAUGACGGUGUGAUAGCAUAUGCAAAUUGCUGCUGUGUGGGAACAGCCUCCAGAGACCCUGGGGACAAGACCUGGCAAUGUCCCUCUUGCUUCAACCUGUGCUUUUGAUUCCUCUGUCAGAUAUCAAUAGCAAGCUAGCCUCCUGAGAUGGGAGUCAGACACAGAGUUGUUACAACAACUCUAAGGAGUUGUUAUAGUCAAGUGUCUUAGCCAUCAAGACUUUUCACAAUCUGACUCUCCGUCUAGGCAGAAACCCAUUGUUGUAGGUUGAAGGCUUGUGCUCAUCCCAAACUCACAUGCUGAUAACUGACCUCAGAGUGACAGCAUUAGGAGAUGAGACCCUUAUGGAGAUAGUUGAGUUAAGAUGCAAUCAUGAGAACAACAUUAUGAACUAACCAGUACCCCGGAG